UUCCCUUAACUUGGGAUCUUACUUUAAAGAAUUAAAAAUAACAGCAAUAAUUAUCCACCCCUUGAUUUAGAUAUACCAGUUACAUGGAAAACUCUACAACAUAAUUUACGACAAAAGGGACGAUUGUUUCGUUCCCUAUAGUUAUUAUUUUGGGCUGGUGAUGAUUCUUUGAUACAAUCUUAUAUUGUUUAUAUAUCGCAACUCGUUUGCUAAGCCCGUAUCGCAGUGCCAUUUUGGAUUUCAUUGAGAGUAAUUCUAUAUAUGCUUUCGAAGUCCCGAAGUUCAGGGGUUUCGUUACCACAAAAUUUGUAGUCCAGUACUAAAUUCUGCCGUGGAUACUAAGAUUUUGUUUUGAUCUUUAGCUGUCCCUGUAUACAUUUUAUUUCAAGCGAAAUAGCACAUCCUUAUUUUUACGGUGGCCAAGUUGUGAAAAUUUAGAAACGAUCCGGGUAAACUUAUCGUUCUAUUACAGUGACUUGACUGUUAGUGUUGUUCUCCACCAAUUGAAACUUAUUCAAAAUUCUGACCAAAUUGCAGUUUUUUUUAAAUUCAAAUUGUUCAACUGGCCAGACAUUUGAACUAACUGCUGUAGAAAACCACACCCAAGUCAUGAGGGUGCAAGGUGAUAUAAUAUAACAUACUUACCAUCCUAUAAGACUUUUUUUUUUUUUUUUUUUUUUUUUUUGAAGACUUGCACUCCACUUUAAUGAUGUUGUGACAAAAUCAUAAGAAUCAGA
rnacentral:lncRNA from 1 species